rnacentral:rRNA from 1 species
UCCCGGCAGUUCUAGUCGCAUCCACUAUUAUUGGGUCUAAAACAUCCGUAGCUUGCUUACUAAGUUCCUUGUGAAAUCUCACGUCUCAAGCGUGAGGCUUGCGGGGAAUACUGGAAAGCUAGAGAUCGGUAGAUGUAAGAAGUACACUGGAGGUAGUGGUAAAAUACGUUAAUCUUCGGUGGACUAACAAUGAGCGAAGGCAUCUUACAAGGACGAAUCUGACAGUGAGGGAUGAAGGCCAGGGGCGCAAAAC